rnacentral:rRNA from 1 species
AUUGAACGCUGGCGGCAUGCUUUACACAUGCAAGUCGAACGGUAACAGGCCUUCGGGUGCUGACGAGUGGCGAACGGGUGAGUAAUGCAUCGGAACCUGCCCAGAGGUGGGGGAUAACGCAGCGAAAGCUGUGCUAAUACCGCAUGUGAUCUGAGGAUGAAAGCGGGGGACCAGGCAGCAAUGUUUGGCCUCGCGCCUUUGGAGCGGCCGAUGUCAGAUUAGGUAGUUGGUGGGGUAAAGGCCUACCAAGCCGACGAUCUGUAGCUGGUCUGAGAGGACGACCAGCCACACUGGGACUGAGACACGGCCCAGACUCCUACGGGAGGCAGCAGUGGGGAAUUUUGGACAAUGGGCGCAAGCCUGAUCCAGCAAUGCCGCGUGCGGGAAGAAGGCCUUCGGGUUGUAAACCGCUUUUGUACGGAACGAAAAGGCUCUGGCUAAUACCUGGGGCUGAUGACGGUACCGUAAGAAUAAGCACCGACUAACUACGUG